UACCAGACUCCUACGGGAGGCAGCAGUCGAGAAUCAUUCACAAUGGGGGAAACCCUGAUGGUGCGACGCCGCGUGGGGGAAUGAAGGUCUUCGGAUUGUAAACCCCUGUCAUGUGGGAGCAAAUUAAAAAGAUAGUACCACAAGAGGAAGAGACGGCUAACUACGUGCCAGCAGCCGCGGUCAUACGUAGGAUCCGAGCAUUAUCCGGAGUGACUGGGUGUAAAGAGUUGCGUAGGUGGCAUAGUAAGUAGCUAGUGAAAUCUGGUGGCUCAACCAUUCAGACUAUUAGCUAAACUGCUAAGCUCGAGACCGUUAGGGGUAACUGGAAUUUCUAGUGUAGGAGUGAAAUCCGUAGAUAUUAGAAGGAACACCGAUAGCGUAGGCAGGUUACUGGGACGGUUCUGACACUAAGGCACGAAAGCGUAGGGAGCAAACGGGAUUAGAUACCCUUGUAA
rnacentral:rRNA from 1 species